CACUCACUGGGAUAAUGUCACGUGAGGGUGAGGCAGAGAUGGAGGUGAUGCAGCAGAGGCCAAGGAAUGCAAAGAUUGCCACCAAACCCCCAGGAGCCGAGAGAGGCCUGGAGCAGAUUCUCUCUCACAGCCCUAGCAGACACAGGGGGAAAAGGCACAGCCCUCCUCUGCCCUGUGGCCACCAUGUCUGCCUGCCUGCUUCCACCCCGUUUGUUUCUAUUUGCUGCCUCCUCCCACCACAAUGUCAGCUCCAGGAAGAGGAGACUUUUGUCAGUUUGUUUCCUGCUGUAUCUCCAGCAUCCAGAACAGAGCCUGGUAAUCAGAGGAGAUGUGAACAGCGACACACAAAACACCAAGGAUCUAUGAUGUGUUAGGUUUGCUUUGGAGGUAUGAUAAAUUGAUCAAAAAGAUGCCACAAUAACUCCUUCCCUUCCCAAAAUGAUACCCCUUGCAACGUGACUUUGCCACUCCUCCCAUCAAAGGUGGAGUCUGUUUCCCCACGCAUUGACUCCUGGCUGCCUUUAUGACCUGCUUUGCAUACAGAAGGCAGCAGAACUGAUGUGGUGGGACAUCUGAGUGGAGUCCUCACGAGGUCUUGCAGCAGCUGAGCUCAUCACCUGGAACCCUGCUGUCACCACAUGCAGAAGCCUGGGCUAGCCUCCUUGAGGAUGAGAGGCCACAUGGAGAGUGGGGUCAGCCAACAGCCUGCACCAGCUAUGUAAGACCAUUUUUGACCCUCCAGCCCCAGUUGAACUGCUGGAUGAUGGCAGCUGCACGAGUGAUCCCAGGGGAGACCAGCAGAGGACCUGCCUAGCAGAGCACAGGUCAAAUUACUACCCCACAGAGCAAAUAAAAUGGUUGUGAAGUCAUUAAAUUUUGGGGGUGGUUGUUACACUGCAAUAGGUAACUGAAGCACCAAGUUACAUUCUUCCAUAAUCUUUCUGUGUCAUUUUCUCUUAGGUAUACCACUUAUGAAUGGCACAGAGCUGGAGUUUAAAAAUAUCCAAUCUGAGAGCCUCUGUUACUUAAUAGGUGGAUUCAACUCUUUCAUAUUUGUGUGAUUAUUGAUAUGUUUGUAUUUACUCCUGACAUCUUAUUUUGGGUUUUCUAAUCGCCAUGCUGUGUUAGUUUCCUGUUGCUGUUCUAACAAAUUACUACAAACUUAGUGGCUUAAAAUGACACACAUUUAUUCUCUUACAGUUCUUGAAGUAAGAAGUCUGAAGGGGUCUUAUGGACUAAAAUCAAAGUAUUGUCAGAGCUGCAUUUUUCUGGGGCUAUAGGAGAGAACCUGUUUCCUAGCCUUUCCCAGCUUCUAGAAGUCACCUGCGUUCCUUGGCUUGGGGCCCCUCCCUCCAUUGCUAAAGGGCAUCACUCUAACUUCUGCAUUCAUUGCCACAUCUCCUCUCUCUGUGACUCUCUUGCCUGCCUCUUUCCCUUAUACCUUUGUGGGUACAUUGGACCCACUCAGAUAAUCCUGGAUAAUCUCUCCAUCUCCAACUCCUUAAUGUAAUCACAUCUACAAAAGUCCCUUUCAUCAUGUAAGUGGCAUAGUCACAGAUUCUGAGGAUUGGGAUAUGGAGUUCUUU